UGGCUGAUGAUGAUAAAUUCUUUAUCUUAGCGGAUUUCAUUGAGAUUGAAAAUUAAAAUUUCAAUCAAGGAUUUGAUUGUUACACACACUGAAGCCA
rnacentral:snoRNA from 1 species